UUUCUUGAAAGCUGAAGGUCGCUUUAUAUUCACAGGAGGUGUAGCAUAUGGGCAACAGCAGUACAAGCUUACCUGCUCUGUUCUGUCAAUGUGCCUCAUCUCUGACCUUGAGGGAACAUCUCUAGAUGGCAGAGUGAAAAAUCAGUGAUUUUACUGAAUGCCUGUGCAAUC
rnacentral:sRNA from 1 species